UACAGAGGUCCCAAGCGUUGUUCGGAUUCACUGGGCGUAAAGGGUGCGUAGGUGGCGGGGUAAGUUUGAUGUGAAAGCUCCGAGCUCAACUCGGAAAUGGCAUUGAAUACUAUCCUGCUCGAGGGUCGGAGGGGAGACUGGAAUUCUCGGUGUAGCAGUGAAAUGCGUAGAUAUCGAGAGGAACACCAGUGGCGAAGGCGAGUCUCUGGACGACUCCUGACACUGAGGCACGAAAGCUAGGGGAGCAAAC
rnacentral:rRNA from 1 species